AGGAUGAACGCUGGCGGCGUGCCUAAUACAUGCAAGUCGAGCGGUAAGGCCCCUUCGGGGGUACACGAGCGGCGGACGGCUGAGUAACACGUAGGAACGUACCCCAAAGUGAGGGAUAAGCACCAGAAAUGGUGUCUAAUACCGCAUGUGCUCUUCGGAGGAAAGCUUCGGCGCUUUGGGAACGGCCUGCGCAUGAUUAGCUUGUUGGUGAGGUAAUGGCUCACCAAGGCGACGAUCAUUAGCUGGUCUGAGAGGAUGAUCAGCCAGACUGGGACUGAGAACGGCCCAGACUCCUACGGGAGGCAGCAGUAGGGAAUUUUCCACAAUGGGCGAAAGCCUGAUGGAGCAACGCCGCGUGCAGGAUGAAUGCCUUCGGGUUGUAAACUGCUUUUAUAUGUGACGAAUAUGACGGUAGCAUAUGAAUAAGGAUCGGCUAACUCCGUGCCAGCGAGCCGACGGU
rnacentral:rRNA from 1 species